rnacentral:rRNA from 1 species
ACAAAUUGGGGGAUCGUGAAGAUUUUAUCAGUGAGUAUGUAGACUCGGAAUGGCAAAGAUAUAUUUGGAUUAUCAGACAUAGAAUGAUAAGGUUGUAUGUCAAAAGGGAAACAGCCCAGAACAAGAGUUAAGGUUCCUAAAUUAUUAGUCUGAUCUAGCUUUAAAUCUAGAUUAGACCGUAAGGUUAAGUGAAAUUAAGAGGGUCUUUAUUUACGUCGACAAGGAGAUAGGCUUAGAAGCAGCCAUAAUUUUAUGACCUCGUAACAGAGCGCUUGUUUAGUUUUAAAGGCAUCGAAAAUUUAACGGAUCUAAACAAUAUACCGAAACCUUGUCCAUAACAAAUUAUGAAGGCGCUAGCGCCUUCAUAAUGAAAUGGGGUAGCAGAACGUUAGGUUCUUGAGGCGUUAGCAUAGUAUGCUGGCGCCAAUCAAUUUAGUCUUAGUGUAAGGACUUGUGUCUUAUACUAGGGCUAAAUAUAAUCAAAUAACUUAAGUGAUAAUGGUGACAUGAGUAACAAAAAGAAUAAUAUUCCGCCUAAAGCUUAUGGAUAUAAAUUAAGUAUCGGCCUCUAAGUUUAUAAACCUAAAGGUUUAAACGAUGAGAAAAUCUUUUUUAUUAAGGACAACUUUGGGUCCUGUAUAUAUAUAGU